CUGGUGCUGCCAAGUCCGUCCUCUCCUCUGCCUCCGCUGCUGCGAUGUACCCCGUUGCCUCACCCCCUCCCCUCGCCUCCUUGUCUUAUCCGCGUCGAUAGUGGCUCUCGCACCGUUGUUUCGGAAGGAGACAGAGAAGUCUAUGUGUGUGUGUGUGUGUGCAUGUCGAGUCGGCGGAGCUGCGAGCCAUGCACUGAAGGGGAGGGAAAGGGUGUGACGAGACGAUAUGCAAACGUGCGUGAUUGUGUGUGCAUGUGAAGCACCUGCGACUGCUAUGGCAAAGCGCGUUGAGGCCGUAACUCAAACGGGCAGCAUGUGCAUGCAGGACGCUUCUUUCUAUUUGCCGGCGCUUCGUCCCCCGCAGCAAAACGACAAGGAGCUGAGCACGGGUGAGCGUUCCUGAUCAGCUGUCGCCUCACCCCCUCCCCUCGUUCCGCUAACGUCCUUUUGCCCUUCCCCACCAUCAAGGCAAGGAGACAAAAACAACAUCAGCCACCGCGAAACCAAAAAGAAAUGAUUGUCUUCGGAUGGGCCUCCCCCAAUUUUUCUCUCUACGUCCAGCCUCCCUCACCCGUGAAAAUGGGGAAGAGACCUUUGGCGUGAGGGAUAGGGAAGCAUGAAAUGGGAAAGAGGGGAAGACAGCAAGCUUGCGUCCAUGCACUUGUAAAGUCAACAUUGUACCCCUCCUACUUGUCCUGCAUGGAGGCAUGUAAGGGCUCUUUCUCUCUCCUUGCUUUUCUGCUCUCUUCUUCAUCCUCUCCUCUACCCUCUCUCCACGAUGGCGCCUGCAUAUAUAUGUGUGUGUGUGUGCGUGCGUCAUUGCCAG
rnacentral:misc_RNA from 1 species